GAUCAUGGCUCAGGAUGAACGCUGGCGGCGUGCUUAACACAUGCAAGUCGAACGAAGCAAUUUAACUUGAUUUCUUCGGAAUGAUUGUACUUUGACUGAGUGGCGGACGGGUGAGUAACGCGUGGGUAACCUGCCUCAUACAGGGGGAUAACAGUUAGAAAUGACUGCUAAUACCGCAUAAGUGCACAGUACCGCAUGGUACAGUGUAAAAAACUCCGGUGGUGUGAGAUGGACCCGCGUCUGAUUAGCUAGUUGGUGGGGUAACGGCCCACCAAGGCGACGAUCAGUAGCCGGCCUGAGAGGGUGAAUGGCCACAUUGGGACUGAGACACGGCCCAAACUCCUACGGGAGGCAGCAGUGGGGAAUAUUGCACAAUGGGGGAAACCCUGAUGCAGCAACGCCGCGUGAGUGAAGAAGUAUUUCGGUAUGUAAAGCUCUAUCAGCAGGGAAGAAAAUGACGGUACCUGACUAAGAAGCUCCGGCUAAAUACGUG
rnacentral:rRNA from 1 species